rnacentral:rRNA from 1 species
AGUGAACGCUGGCGGCGUGCUUAACACAUGCAAGUCGAACGAGAACGGAUUAUAGCUUGCUAUAAUUGUCAGCUAAGUGGCGCACGGGUGAGUAAUAUAUAGGUAACGUGCCCCAAAGAAGAGGAUAACAGUUGGAAACGAUUGCUAAGACUCUAUAUGCCUUUAUGACAUAAGUCAGCAAGGGAAAUAUUUAUAGCUUUGGGAUCGGCCUGUACAGUAUCAGUUAGUUGGUGAGGUAAUGGCUCACCAAGACAAUGACGCUUAACUGGUUUGAGAGGAUGAUCAGUCACACUGGAACUGAGACACGGUCCAGACUCCUACGGGAGGCAGCAGUGGGGAAUAUUGCACAAUGGACGAAAGUCUGAUGCAGCAACGCCGCGUGGAGGAUGACACAUUUCGGUGCGCAAACUCCUUUUAUAUAGGAAGAUAAUGACGGUACUAUAUGAAUAAGCACCGGCU